rnacentral:lncRNA from 10 species
AAGCAGACAAUGGCUCAAUCACCUUUUCUCAUGUAUAUAUAUAUAUAUAUACACACACACACACUUUGUGUAAUUCCAGAAAAAAUUACAAGAAAUUCACGGAAAUAUAACAUAGAACAUAACAAAGUAAAAAUAUCAAUAUCUGGCAUUCAGUAACAAGUUACUAGACAAUCAAGGAAGCUGAAAAAUAGAGUCCAUAAUGACAUGAAAAUUUAAUUAAUCAAGACUACCUAGAAAUAAUACAGGUGAUAGAAUUCAUAGACAAUGACUUUAAAACAGUUAUUGUAAUUGUAUUACAUAUUUUCAAGAAGUUACAGGAAAUAGGGAAUAUGAUAAGUAGAAACAUGUUAGAUAUAAAAAUAACCCAAAUCAAACUUUUAGAGAUAAAAAUUAAAAUGUCUAAGAUGAAAAAUGCACUAAACACCUUUAAUGGUGGAUGAGACAUUUCAGGGGAAAAAAUUGUUGAACUUAAAGAUAUAGCAAUAGAAACUAACCAAAAUAAAGCACAGAAAGAAACAAAGGCUGAAUAAAUGGACAGAGACUUGGGCAACUAAAUGCAAUCAAAUGUGUGUGCAAUUAGAGUUCCUGAAGGAGAAAAAUGAAUAGGGAACAAAUCAAAAUAUUUGAAGAAGCAAUUCCCAAAAUACCCAAAACACAAGAAACAGAAAGAAAACUACACCAAGGAACAUCGUAAUCGAAUUAAUUAAAAAGACCAAUGAAGAGAAAAUGUUAAAAGCAACUAGAAGAAAAAGACAUGUUAUAUACACUACAACAACAAUAAAGAUGACAGGGGAUACUUAAUGGAAACAAAGCAACUGAGAAUAUUGUAAAGUAACAUUUUUAUAGUAUUGUCAACCUGGAAUUCUCUAACCAGUCAAAAUAUCUUUAUAAACAAAAGAGAAAUAGCCUUCCUAGAUACACAAAAGAUGAAAGAUUUUAUCACCAGCUGAAUUGAAAUCCAAGAAAACCUUUCAGGCAGAAGAAAAAUUAUACCAGAUGAAAAUCUGGAACUACUGAAAGAAAUGAAGAGCAAUAGAAAUGGUAACUACAUCUGCAGUCAAAACUUUUUUUCUUACUACAUUUAAAUCUUUCAAAUUAUUGUCAACAGUCCAAAGAAAACAUAAUGAAAAUGAAUUGUUAUGUUUAUAACAUGUAUAAAAGUAAAAUGUAUGACAACAACAGCACUGAGUUUGAGUACCUAGAAAUAAAAAUAAAUUGUUUUUAAUACUUUAUGUGAAGUGGUAUAAUAUUAAAUGAAGGUAGAAUGUAAAAGUUAAGCAGAUAUACCUCAAACUCUACAGCAAAUACUAAAAUAACAACAAGAAAGUUAUACUUAAGCUAGCAAAGAAGUAAAGUAAUGAAAAUUUCGAAUUAAUGAAAAGGAAACAUAAAGCAAAGGACAGAUAUGAUACACAGAAAACCAAAAGCAGAUGGAAGAUUUCAUUCCAACUAUAACAUUAAUAACAUUGAUUAUAAAUGGUCUAAACAUCCCACUUAAAAGUCAGAGGUUGUCAGGUUUGAUUAAAAAAGAAAGACCCAAUUAUAUAUGGCAUAUAAAAAGUCCCUUUAAAUAUAAAGACUUAAAUAGAUCACAAGUAAAAGCAUGGAAAAUGAUAUAUCAUGCUACCUAUAAUCAAAAUAAAGUUAUGGUGCCUAAAUUAAUAUCAGAAUAUGC